ACUCCUACGGGAGGCAGCAGUGGGGAAUAUUGCACAAUGGGCGCAAGCCUGAUGCAGCCAUGCCGCGUGUAUGAAGAAGGCCUUGGGUUGUAAAGUUACUUUCUAGCAGUGAGGAAGGUGGUGCAGUUAAUAGUCUGUAUCUAUUUGUACGUUAGCUGCAGAAGAAGCACCGGCUAACUCCGUGCCAGCAGCCGCGGUAAGUACGGAGGGUGCGAGCGUUAAUCGGAAUUACGUGGCGUAAAGCGCAUGCAGGUGGUUUGUUAAGUCAGAUGUGAAAGCCCGGGGCUCAACCUCGGAAUUGCAUUUGAAACUGGCAGACUAGAGUACUGUAGAGGGGGUUAGAAUUUCGAGGUGUAGCGGUGAAAU
rnacentral:rRNA from 1 species